rnacentral:hammerhead_ribozyme from 1 species
AUCUAGCCGACGAGUCACGAUUAGGGCGAAACGCGUGUCCUGGAU